AGUGUAGGGUUCCUAGCGAGCCCAACCUCCCACCCGUGUUUACUGUACCUUAGUUGCUUCGGCGGGCCCGCCAUUCAUGGCCGCCGGGGGCUCUCAGCCCCGGGCCCGCGCCCGCCGGAGACACCACGAACUCUGUCUGAUCUAGUGAAGUCUGAGUUGAUUGUAUCGCAAUCAGUUAAAACUUUCAACAAUGGAUCUCUUGGUUCCGGCAUCGAUGAAGAACGCAGCGAAAUGCGAUAACUAGUGUGAAUUGCAGAAUUCCGUGAAUCAUCGAGUCUUUGAACGCACAUUGCGCCCCCUGGUAUUCCGGGGGGCAUGCCUGUCCGAGCGUCAUUGCUGCCCAUCAAGCACGGCUUGUGUGUUGGGUCGUCGUCCCCUCUCCGGGGGGGACGGGCCCCAAAGGCAGCGGCGGCACCGCGUCCGAUCCUCGAGCGUAUGGGGCUUUGUCACCCGCUCUGUAGGCCCGGCCGGCGCUUGCCGAACGCAAAUCAAUCUUUUUCCAGGUUGACCUCGGAUCAGGUAGGGAUACCCGCUGAACUUAAGCAUAUCAA
rnacentral:rRNA from 1 species